CCCUUCCCAGGGUGCCUCGCGCCAGGACGCACGAGCACGCCCACUGGGGGCGGGACUCUGUCCUGCACCUGCUCCCAGCGUCCGUUGGGGCGGUUGGCUCCCACAAGCGCGCGCAUGCGCCAACUGCAGGGCGGGUCCCCAACGGCCGCCCAGGCUGCACGCGGGGCCUGGCAUGGCGGCCUCCGGAGUCCGUUAGGCAAACAGGGAGUGAAAUUCAGAGA